GAUGAAGAACGCAGCGAAAUGCGAUACGUAAUGUGAAUUGCAGAAUUCAGUGAAUCAUCGAAUCUUUGAACGCACAUUGCGCCCGCUAGUAUUCUGGCGGGCAUGCCUGUCCGAGCGUCAUUUCAACCCAUCAAGCUUAGCGCUUGUGUUGGAGCCCUGCGGCCGCCGCAGCCUCCUAAAAUCAGUGGCGGGCUCGCUAUCACGCUGAGUGCAGUAGUAUUCUUCUCACUCCUGUGGUGUAGCGGGUAACCAGCCGUAAACCCCCCCAUCCAUAAAGGUUGACCUCGGAUCAGGUAGGAAUACCCGCUGAACUUAAGCAUAUCAAUAAGCGGAGGA
rnacentral:misc_RNA from 1 species